GGGCCUUGCGGCCACACGGCGUCUGCGCGCCGUUUCCCCGCGGGGCGAUGGGCUGCGGGGAGAAGCUCGAGAUUUCAGGCCCUGGAGGAGGCGGGGAGCGUUCUGUGUGAGAUCCUUUGCAGGCUGCGAUCUCCAGAUCGUUCACCCCGGUGUUCCUCGAGCAGCCCGAAGGCAAGCGAGGGCUGACACGUUCCCGCAUCGGGGCCAGCUGUAUCUCUUGUUCCCAGUGAUGUUUGUCGGAGGCAGGGUGGAAUUAGUGGAGUUGACCUGUGGUUACAAGGGCAGGGGAAGGAGCAUGUGCAAGGGAAGCUGUGACAGGACGCGUUACUCAGUGUUUAUACAGCACUACACCUCCCUUGACGAAGCCCCAGUGUUUACACUUCCGCAAACUGCAGAAACACAGCGAGUGGCUGGCUCCUCCUAAAUGUGCCUGUUUGCUGGAGGCACCUGCUUGUGGCUCCUUUUUGGGGCAUGUUGCAACCAGCCUUCAAGCUAUGCUCCAGGGCAGGCCGUGGUGUGUUCAAGAAAUGUUUAGAUGUUGUACUGAGGGACGUGGGUUAGUGGGGAAAUAUGGGUGGUAGGUGGACAGCUGGCCUGGAUGAUCUUGGAGGUAUUUUCCAACUUUGGAGAUUCUGUGAUUCUACCCACUGAUUUUCAAGGAAAACCCUGAGUAAGCAGAGUUGCCCAGAAUUAAGCACGUCUGGGGAUGCUAAUGAUUCCCAUGCAGCCUAAGCUGUGCUUUGAAUAACCCAGCAGACUGAAAGUUUGUUCUUUUCUUCCAGCAGGAACUGGUGGUGCUGGCUCUUCUCAAGGUGCAGCAAUGCCCUUUGCUAGCACAGCCACGUGGCUGGACAGCUUCUGCUCCCUGCCCCAUUGCAGGAUGCGAAGGAAGGCAGUUCCUUGGCAGCACUGGUGCAGACAAACAGCUUUUUGUUGAGGCAGAACCGGUCCCUUCAGCUCUUCCACCCCUCCCUGCCAUGGCUGUCAGCAUUCCAGCUUCAAUUUCCUCUCCUCUUUUCAGCUUUUCUUCUUAUUCCACUUCAUGUUUUCCAUCUGUAUUUUCCCUGACAGUACUUGAUGUCCAGUGUGGGUCUAAUCCUUAAAUAUCACAAGGUCUUGGCCAGCUGCUAUGAAGUUCCUCUGAGAUCCUGGUUUAAAAGAAGCUUUGAAGCUCAUGUCGUGGUCUGUUUCUCGUUGUUUGCCUUUCAGUGCUACCUGGCAAACUCUUUUGACCACCAGCCAAAGAAAGCUCCAAAUAAAAACUGCUGAGGA